rnacentral:rRNA from 1 species
GAUGAACGCUGGCGGCGUGCCUAACACAUGCAAGUCGAGCGAUUUACUUCGGUAAAUAGCGGCGGACGGGUGGGUAACGCGGUGGUAACCUGCCCUGUACACACGGAUAACAUUCCGAAAGGUAUGCUAAUACGAGAUAAUAUACUUUUAUCGCAUGGUAGAAGUAUCAAAGGGUUUGCGGUACAGGAUGGAACCGUGUCGGAUUAGCUAGUUGGUGAGGUAAUGGCUCACCAAGGCGACGAUCAGUAGCCGACCUGAGAGGGUGAUCGGCCACAUUGGAACUGAGACACGGUCCAAACUCCUACGGGGAGCAGCAGUGGGGAAUAUUGCACAAUGAGCGAAAGCCUGAUGAAGCAACGCCGCGUGAGCGGUGAAGGCCUUCGGGUAGUAAAGCUCUGUCCUCAAGGAAGAUAAUGACGGUAAUUGAGGAGGAAGCACCGGCUAACUACGUG